ACUUCCAUGGAAAGAAAAAUAAAAAAAAUUAAUCUCAUACUACUAGAUAAGUCACUGUGUUUUACUCAUUACAUCAGAGGAACUGGCAAACUUUUUGAACUUAAAACAUACUAUAUAUCUUCUUAACAUGUUGUUAGUUGGAUGCAAUGUAGACAUAUGUACUUGUAAUUGUAAACAUAUUUUCUUGUUCAAAGUCAUGUGUGAUACAAGCAUCCAUCCUUGUAGCUUAGAUUUGUGUGAGCUGAUGUGGAUGGAUGUGUAUGUUUGUGUGAUCCAUGUUUCGCAUCAAAGCAACAAAAAAUUGUCAGUUUGAUCUCAACACCAUCUUCAAAUUUGUUUAUUUCUUCAUUCUGAGAUGUCAAACUCUGCCUCCUGGGUAAGAAUUAUGCAAGCCUAUCAAUAGUAGCAGAAUAUUUGUAGAUUUUCUGGCGCCCUUUUCGACUCUGAAUAAGGAAAACAAGAUUCAGGUAGACACCUGUGCAACCUAACGUUCUUCAAACUGGUGAAGCUUCAGGUUAGCAACUCAAAACAAACCAGGUGUUUGGAGAACCACUACUUUCAGAUAACGCUGAGCGAUACCCAUCCCUGUUGAAACUCUGUUUACCUCGGUUUACUUAUUAACAUCAAAACAUGAAUGAAUUGCCGCUUGCUUAUUAAUUUCAGAUUAGGCACCCUAGGCCACUUGCUGUAUUUUAAUCAUCUGAUUAGUGAGUGCGCUACAGAUAAUAAUUAUUUGAUUGUUUUUUUCAGCAAGUUGAGCCCAACUAAAGUUUUUAAAAAAUGCAACUAGCUGAAUGGAGUAACAUCAAAACCUGAAUGCAUUGCCACUUGCUUCUUAUUAACUACAGCUUAGGCCGGCAACUUAGGCUGCUUGUUCUAUUUUAAUCAUUUGAUUAGUGAGUGCGCUAUAGACAGCGAGUAGCUAUUAGUUUUUUCAGCAAGUUGAGCCCAGCUCAACUUAAAAAAAUGCGACUAGCUGGAUCAGAUCCAUUCAUGUCUUGUUGACUUUGGAGAGUAGUGCGGCCUCCAUUCUGCUUCUCCUGCAAUCUCCCAUCUCCUUCAUUGCAGCACCGGCUCCUGCAAUCCCAAGCCGCCUUCAUUGUCCUUCCUUCACCUCUUCAUGAGUGUUUUCCAUCUAUUGCUAUCAAAAACCUUUGAUUUCUAAUCCAAGGGGCAUCAACUAGAGCUCGUGCUCGUGCUCCAUGUUCAUCCAUUCCGUUUAGCGUUUACCCGUCCCUUCCGUCUCAUUUUCCCCUCCAGAUAAAGUUCUUCACUUCACCAACCACCAUCCAAAUAGAUGAUUCUGUGAAUACACACAGCUAAACCUGCCUUUGGAGUAAUUUUACCAUCUUUGCUCUGUUCCUAUUUUCAUUCCUAACAAAUCCCAAAUUUCCCACUGUGUCUUACUACGCCCAAGAAAAAAAAGAAAAGAAGAAAAGAUACAUCCUCCCCUUAUACCCACCGUGUGCUUUCCAUGGCAGAGGUGGCGCUGGUUGUGGCUGGCAUACGGGCUGGCUUACAAUUGGUGGUAUCACCAAUCUUAAAGAAGCUCCUAGCUGACCCUGCAAGGUGCCUUGGUGUGGACAUGGUGAGUGAGCUCUGUGAACUGGAGACCAACAUCAUGCCGCAGUUCGCUCUACUGGUUGAAGCAGCUAACAAGGGCCCACACAGGGCAAUGCUGGAAAAGUGGAUCCAGCAGCUCAAAGAUGCCUUCUAUAAAGCUGAGGACCUGCUAGAUGAGCAUGAGUACAACAUCCUCAAGCCCGAAGCUGAGAACGGGAAGGAUGAUUCGCUGGAGCAUGCAUCUUCCAGUGACGCUAUAAUGAAGCAUAUGCGUACUGUGUCGAGCAGGCUGUCCAAUAUGCGCCCAAAGAAUAAAAAGCUAUUCGACCAGCUGAAGGAACUGAAGGCCAUCCUGGCGAAAGUCAAGGACUUCCGCGACCUGCUUUGCUUACCUGCUGGUAAUGGUGUUGAGGCCUCCGCAGUACUGACAUCUGUUAUUCCAGUGGCCACAUCAAUAGGACUUCCGAGAGUGAUCGGUCGUGACAAGGAUCGUGAUGAUAUUAUAGAUCUUCUAACGAAGCCGAUUGCUGUUGAGUCUGCUACACGUAGGUAUUCUGGUCUAGCCAUUGUUGGACUUGGAAGCAUGGGAAAAUCCACCUUGGCGCAGCAUGUUUACAAUGACAAGAGGGUAGAAGACCAUUUUGAUGUCAGGAUGUGGGUCUGCAUCUCGCGCAGACUUGAUGUUCACCGCCACACGCGGGCGAUUAUUGAGGGCAUCUCCAGCCCAAAGGGAGAAUGCCCAUGUAUUGGUAACCUUGACACUCUACAGUGCAAAUUAAGGGACAUGCUGCAAAAGUCAAACAGAUACCUUCUUGUAUUGGACGAUGUCUGGUUUGAAGAAAACGCCAAUGAGAUGGAGUGGGAGAAAUUAUUGUCCCCUCUAAUUUCUCAGCAGACAUGAAGCAAAGUUUUAGUAACUUCUAGAUCAAAUAUACUCCCAGCUCCAUUUUUCUGUAAUGAAAUCAUUUGUUUGAAAGACAUGGAACCUACCGAUAUUUUAGCACUCUUCAAGUACCAUUCCUUUUCUGGAGCAGAAACGGCAGACCAGAGGUUACGUGAGCAGCUGGAAACUAUUGCAGAGAAGCUUGCUAAAAAAUUUGGAAGAUCUCCUCUGGCAGCAAAAACUGUGGGUUUACAGCUCGGCAGGAAAAAGGAUAAGGCUGAAUGGGAAAAUGCUCUAAGGAUUGACAACUUAAGUGAUCCCACUAAAGCACUUCUGUGGAGUUACCAGAAGUUAGAUCCAAGUCUGCAGAGGUGUUUUCUAUAUUGCAAUUUAUAUCCAAAAGGCUACAAUUAUAAAAUUAAGGAGUUGGUUCACCUGUGGAUGGCAGAGGGACUUAUUGAUUCGAGCAAUGUGGACAAGAGAACAGAAGAUAUGGGAAAGGAUUGCUUUAUUGAGAUGGCCAAUGUUUCAUUCUUUCAACGAGUUUAUAAUAUGUACACUGGUACGUCCUAUGUUAUGCAUGAUCUCAUUCAUGAUAUGGCACAGUCACUCUCCAAAGAAGAUUGCUAUAGACUGGAUGAUGAUAAGGUGACAGAAAUACCCUGCACUAUCCAGCAUUUAUCUAUUUGUGUUGAGAGUAUACAAAAGCACAAGCAAAGCAUUUGCAAGCUACAUCAUUUGCGCACUGUUAUCUGCAUUCAUCCGCUGAUAGAUGAAGUAAAUGAUGUUUUUAUUGGGCUAUUGGAGAAUUUGAAGAAGUUACGUGUACUGUCUUUGUCAUUUUACAAUAGUUGGAAGUUGCCAGAAUCAGUUGGUAAGCUGAAGCAUCUUCGCUAUUUGAACAUCAGCAACACAUGGAUUUCUGAAUUGCCAAGAUCAUUGUGUACUCUUUACCAUUUACAAUUCCUUCAUUUCAGUGACAAAGUUAAGAGUUUGCCGGACAAAAUAUGCAAUUUAAGUAAGUUGUGUUAUCUCGAAGGAAUCAGUCACAGAGGCAAGCAUGUGCAUGAUCUGCCUCAAAUCCCUUACAUAGGCAAGUUAACCUCGCUCCAAGGACUUCAUAAUUUUUCCGUGCAAAAGCAGAAGGGAUUUGAGUUGUGCCAGCUUAGGGACAUGAACGAGCUUGGUGGCUAUUUGAAUGUGACGAAUCUUGAAAACGUCACUGCAAAGGAGGCCUUGGAGUCAAAGCUUCAUCUGAAAAGUCAUCUUGAAAGCUUGCGCCUUGAAUGGAGUUCCAACAAUGACAUGACUACUAAUAGUUUACAUCUGGAGAUAUUGGAAGGUCUAAUGCCACCGACUCAACUUGGGAGUCUUACUAUUAAAGGCUACAGAUCUAUAAAAUAUCCAGGCUGGUUCCUUGAGGGUUCUUAUUUUCAGAAUUUAGAAUCUUUUGCACUUGUUAAUUGCAGUGCAUUACAAGGCCUGCCAUCUAAAGUAUUUGGGAAUUGCUCCUCACUUGUCCUCACGAAUAUCCCAAACCUGGUAACGUUACCAUCUCUUCCUGCAGGUCUUAAAGAUUUAAAGAUUGAGGAAUGUCCACUGCUUGUAUUUAUCUCCAGCGACGAGCUAGAACAACAAGACCAGAGGGAUAACACUUUGAUGACAGACUGGUUGGUAUCGCAGCUUUCUUCCAUGUGGGAGGUGGAUUCAGAAUCAGAAAUCAGGAAGAUACUAUCUGCUGAACAUUCAUCUGUGAAGCGGUUGGUGAUUUCGAUGGAUGCUGAUAUGUCUCAGCUUCAAAUAAUUGAAUGUGCUCUAGAAAGAGGAUUGGGAAAAGAGGAUACCAUCAAGACAUGGAUAUGGUGCCAUGAGGAGAGGAUAAGACUCAUUUGUACAAGGAACAUCGGCAUGCCACUGGUUCCACCAUCAAGGCUUUGUCGGCUUGACCUUUCUUCAUGCAUUAUUACAGAUGCAGCAUUAGCUAUUUGCCUUGAAUGUCUCACUUCACUGAGACAUUUGUCAUUAAAAGAGAUUAUGACUUUAACUACACUUCCAUCACCAGAUGUCCUCCAACAGUUGACAAAGCUUCAUUGCUUGCACAUCGACUCAUGCUGGUACCUUAGAGCAUUAGGGGGGUUACGAGCUGCUACCGCUCUUUCAGGAAUUUCAUUACGGAGCUGCCCUUCUUUAGACUUGACACGUGGGUCAGAGUUUUUGCCAUUGUCCCUUGAGAGUGUCUUCAUACAACAUUGUUUGGUUGCAGCUGAUCUCUUCAGUAGUGACUUGCCGCACCUGAAACAUCUUGGCAUGAUUUGGUGCAGAACUUCUUCAUCGUUGUCGAUUGGUCAUUUAACCUCCCUUAAAUCAUUAUCACUACACAAUCUGCAGCACUUGUGCUUUCUUGAAGGCUUGUCUUCGCCACUAUUGGAUGCACAUUUUACAAAUGUCCCGAACCUCAGUAUGAAUUGCAUAUCACAGCUGCGUGUUGAGAAUUCCCUCUAUGUUAGCAGCCCUGUAAUGCUCAACCACAUGCUCCUAUCUGAAGGUUUUACAGUUCCAGGAACUCUCGCUAUUUCAGAAUGCAAGGAGCGAUUCUUUUCGUUUGAAGAAUCAGCAGAUUUGUCAUCUGUCGACCGCUUGUUAUUUAUGAAUUGUGAAAUCAGUUCAUUGCCAGAUUUGAAGUGCUUUUCAUGUCUGACGAUGCUCCAAAUUAUUCGAUGCCCCAAUCUAUCAUUUUUACCAGAUUUGCCAUCCUCCCUCUACUGCAUAUGUGUGAGUGGUUCUGAACUCUUGAAGAAGAGUUGUCAAUCACCUCAUGGUGAAAGCUGGCCAAAAAUUGAGCAUAUCCGUUCAAAAUAUUUUAAUUAAUUUUCAUCCAGAUUUGGAACUAUAUAGGAAC